GGAUGCGAUCAUACCAGCACUAAAGCACCGGAUCCCAUCAGAACUCCGAAGUUAAGUGUGCUUGGGCGAGAGUAGUACUAGGAUGAGUGACCUCCUGGGAAGUCCUCGUGUUGCAUUCC
rnacentral:rRNA from 1 species